rnacentral:rRNA from 1 species
ACGAACGCUGGCGGCGUGCUUAACACAUGCAAGUCGAACGGAAAGGCCCUGCUUUUGUGGGGUGCUCGAGUGGCGAACGGGUGAGUAACACGUGAGUAACCUGCCCUUGACUUUGGGAUAACUUCAGGAAACUGGGGCUAAUACCGGAUAGGAGCUCCUGCUGCAUGGUGGGGGUUGGAAAGUUUCGGCGGUUGGGGAUGGACUCGCGGCUUAUCAGCUUGUUGGUGGGGUAGUGGCUUACCAAGGCUUUGACGGGUAGCCGGCCUGAGAGGGUGACCGGCCACAUUGGGACUGAGAUACGGCCCAGACUCCUACGGGAGGCAGCAGUGGGGAAUAUUGCACAAUGGGCGGAAGCCUGAUGCAGCAACGCCGCGUGCGGGAUGACGGCCUUCGGGUUGUAAACCGCUUUCGCCUGUGACGAAGCGUGAGUGACGGUAAUGGGUAAAGAAGCACCGGCUAACUACGGG